rnacentral:rRNA from 1 species
CCUACGGGAGGCUGCAGUAGGGAAUCUUCCACAAUGGACGAAAGUCUGAUGGAGCAACGCCGCGUGAGUGAAGAAGGGUUUCGGCUCGUAAAGCUCUGUUGGUAGUGAAGAAAGAUAGAGGUAGUAACUGGCCUUUAUUUGACGGUAAUUACUUAGAAGGUCACGGCUAACUACGUGCCAGCAGCAGCGGUAAUACGUAGGUGGCAAGCGUUGUCCGGUUUUAUUUGGCGUAAAGCGAGUGCCGGCGGUUCAAUAAGUCUGAUGUGAAAGCCUUCGGCUAAACCGGAGAAUUGCAUCAGAAAAUGUUGAACGUGAGUGCAGAAGAGGAGAGUGGAACUCCAUGUGGAGCGGUGGAAUGCGUAGAUAUAUGGAAGAACACCAGUGGCGAAGGCGGCUCUCUGGUCUGCAACUGACGCUGAGGCUCGAAAGCAUGGGUAGCGAACAGGAGUAGAUACCCCGGUAGUC